CAUGUUAGGGUAAAAACACACCCUAGGCUAAAAAUUAACCCUAGGCUAAAACCUAACCCUAGUCGGACGGCUCUCCCAUCCAUUCUACUCUCCGAUGUUUGCUCCCUGGACAAUAAACUGGACUACAUCUGACUUGAAUGCGCUACACGGCGAGAGUUUAUAAACUGCUGCAUGUUUGUUUUCACGGAGACGUGGCUCAGAGACUCCGCCAUUCAGCUGGACGGGAUCACCUCAUUUAGAGCUGACAGAAAUGCAGCUAUGUGCGAGUUGGGAGAGAUCAUGGAAAAGCAGAUGCCCUCAGUCGUCUUCCUGUGUUACAACAAUCUGAGGAAGAACCAGAGGAAGAACAGGUACUGAUGCUGGACAGUGUAAUGGACCCCUUAACUACAGCAGAGCACAUUAGGCACUGAACUAAUAAAGAUCCUGUUUUAUCAAGAGUGUGUGAGUAUGUGCUUAAAGGCUGGCCUGAUCACAAUACAUCUGAAUUUAUAUUUUAUAAGUAAAGACACCAAGAGCUCAGAGUUCAGAAUGGAUGUGUGCUGUGGGAGCCCAUGUUCUUAUUCCAGUACAAGGACGUUUGAGUUUGUUGGAGCAGCUGCAUCAGUUCCACGCAGUUAUGUCAAAAAUGAAGGUGUUGGCCAGGAGUUAUAUAUGGUGGCUGAAACUGGAUGCUGAUAUUGCAGAAAAAAGCCCCUGCAAGGGCACCAGCCAUGGGAGUGGCCCAGACAACUCAGGAGGAGAAUUCAUAUGGAAUAUGCAGGUCCAUUUCUGGGUUUAAAUGUUCUUAUUUCUAACUGAUGCUCAUUCUAAGUGGAUUGAUGUCUAUCCGGUAACUAUAGCAACAACAGAUAAUACAUUGGAGUGUUUAUGGAAAAGUUUUAGUGUACAUGGGAUUCCUGAAAUGAAGCUGUUCUUCACAGGCUUUUAAUAAUGACCAGCCAUUACAUUACUGCCACUUGCUGGACAAACAUAUAUAGAUCUCUCCAUACAAAACCUUUUCUUUUUGGAUCUCUGUAAGUUUUUUAUUUUCACUGUAAAGUUUUUUCUUUCUGUUGUUUCCUUUGAUGUUAUUAUGAAUGUAAUGCAAUGUGAUCCUCUGUAUGUAUAUUGUUAUUGUUAUGCAGAAAAUAAAUAAAUAAAAAGUA